UCGCUAACAACAGCUGCUUAGCCGAUAUUAAAUUGGCUUCUUAAGAUAUUUACGAAGGCGUCUUUGUUUCUUAUCCAAACUUGGCUUUAUAGGAAAAAUCGGUCGAUUGUUUGAUCGUGAGCUCGUGUAUUUGGACAUUUGGAGGUGUCUGAAUGCAGUAGGUGAUUGCAUCGGCGACAUCCUCGGCCCGCAACAUGGGAAAACCCAAGGCGGAGAAUUGGUCCUUAUCAAUAAUUUCAGUAUCCACAACGCCAGGACUAAUGCUCUACAUUAAAAAUAAUGCACAAUAUAAGAAUCGGUACAGAUAAAGUGUAUUUCAAGUGCCACUUACUGUUAUCUUUGUUUUGGUGCCCUUGUUCAGAAACUCCUGGCGCAGUACCUCGGUCAGUGCGGUGAUCGCAUGCUUGGAUGGUGCGUACAUAUUGAAGCUCAUCUGCGGCAUAAUGGGCACCUGGUGUCCGGCAACGCUAUUGACAAUGAGUAUGUGACCAUCGUUGAUCUUGCGUCGCUCCAUUGAAAGGAACGCCUCGCGUGUGCACCAGGAGACACCCAGCACAUUGGUGUCCAAUGUGGCCCGUAGAUCGGCGCUGUUGCCCUCGCUGAUAAUUUGGGUGUGACGCACUAUGCCCGCAUUAUUAAUCAGCACAUCUGUGCCGCCCAGCUCCUUAUCGAUCCAGGCAAAGGUAUCGAUCACCUGCUGCUCCACGCUCA